UUAACAUCCCCAACAUACCAAAAAUACAAUAUAGCUUGAGAACAAUAUUAUAAAAUUAUAAUUUUAAUAUAAUUUUUCAACAAUGCUUGAGAAACACUUAUGUUCCAUAAACUUUUCUCAAAUCUGUCCUUUGUUGACAAAUUAGUUUUGAUUUUUUGUGAAAAUUGUCAGAAAGAAAUUAUUUUCUUUGGCAAAAAACAAAAUCACGCGAAUUUAGGACCCAUUUCUGGACCGAACCCUUAAGAUCGGAAGCAUCAAAAAAGUUGCAGGAAUUCAAUAGAUGUGUAGUCUUAGUGGAAGAGAUGCAGAAGUUCAAAUAAGGGAGAAGAAAGCGUCAGGGUAUCAAGGCCACAUGAGGCAGUGACUACUGGGAUGUCCAUCAAGAAAAAAAUGUUAAAAAUGAUUAAAAACUAAAAAAAUAAUAUUUUAUACUAUUACAAAAAUA